rnacentral:rRNA from 1 species
GAUGAACGCUGGCGGCGUGCCUAAUACAUGCAAGUCGAGCGAACAGAUGAGGUGCUUGCUCCUCUGACGUUAGCGGCGGACGGGUGAGUAACACGUGGAUAACCUACCUAUAAGACUGGGAUAACUUCGGGAAACCGGAGCUAAUACCGGAUAAUAUAUUGAACCGCAUGGUUCAAUAGUGAAAGACGGUUUUGCUGUCACUUAUAGAUGGAUCCGCGCCGCAUUAGCUAGUUGGUAAGGUAACGGCUUACCAAGGCGACGAUGCGUAGCCGACCUGAGAGGGUGAUCGGCCACACUGGAACUGAGACACGGUCCAGACUCCUACGGGAGGCAGCAGUAGGGAAUCUUCCGCAAUGGGCGAAAGCCUGACGGAGCAACGCCGCGUGAGUGAUGAAGGUCUUCGGAUCGUAAAACUCUGUUAUUAGGGAAGAACAAAUGUGUAAGUAACUAUGCACGUCUUGACGGUACCUAAUCAGAAAGCCACGGCUAACUACGUG